rnacentral:tRNA from 1 species
GGGAGCGUAAUUCAACGGCAGAAUAGCUGGCUCUUAACCAGUCUAUGACGGGUUCGACUCCCUCCGCUCCUACCA